GGUAAACUUAUUGCCUCUUUUGGAUUCCACUACCACCUGUACGCUGAUGACACUCAGAUAUACCUCUCCCUUGCCGUCCUGCAACGUGUCACUGCUUGCCUUUCUUCCAUCCCUGACUGGAUGUCCUCACGCUUUCUGAAACUUAACCUCUAUAAAACUGAACUCCUUGUCUUUCCUCCUCCUAAUACUGGUCCUCCUCUCUCGCUCUCCCUUCAAGACAGUGAUAUCCACAUAAGUCCAUCCUUGCAAG